AGCAACCAGUCAGCACACACGCAGGCAAAAUGAAACGAUGUGUUUCAUUAAAUGAUUUGGCACGCACACUCAGCAAGUUAAUGCACACGCAGCACAGUCAAACAAUCCAUGGCGAAUGGUAUGGACACGAACGCGCACACAUGGCAGCCAGCAAGCAUAAACCCUAGAAAGUUGCAGAGACGCCGGAGCUAAGCUCCGGUCGUCUUCUCCGGUGGUAUUCUGGCGGACAUCCAACAAAAUUUU
rnacentral:lncRNA from 1 species